GGUACAUUAUAUGUCUACCGUGGUUGUAACGAGUACAGAGAAUCAGGGUUUGGUUCUGGAGAGGCCGCCUGAGAAACGGCGACCACUUCCAAGGAAGGCAGCAGGCGCGCAAAUUACCCACUCUCAAAACGAGGAGGUAGUGAAGAGAAAUAACGAUGUUAGUCUUUUUAGGCUGACAAUCGGAAUGGAAAACUCUAAAAAGGUUAUUGAUUAACAAUUGGAGGGCAAGUCUGGUGCCAGCAGCCGCGGUAAUUCCAGCUCCAAUAAGGAAAACUAAAGUUGCUGUGUUUAAAAAGCUCGUAGUUGAAUUUCGGGUAUUUGUUGCUAGUUGGUCUUUUCGGCCAUAUUGGUUAACAGAUCCUCACUUGCUGGACGGCUGGCGAUGAUCUUUAUCGGUUGUCGUCAGUUGCCAGAACGUUUACUUUGAGAAAAUUAGAGUGCUAAAAGCAGGCUCACGCCUAUAUAUAUUGCAUGGAAUAAUGAAAUAAGAUCUCGAUUUUAUUCGUUGGUUUUAGAAAUUGAGAUAAUG
rnacentral:rRNA from 1 species